rnacentral:rRNA from 1 species
UACGAAGGGGGCUAGCGUUGCUCGGAAUCACUGGGCGUAAAGGGUGCGUAGGCGGGUCUUUAAGUCAGGGGUGAAAUCCUGGAGCUCAACUCCAGAACUGCCUUUGAUACUGAAGGUCUUGAGUAUGGGAGAGGUGAGUGGAACUGCGAGUGUAGAGGUGAAAUUCGUAGAUAUUCGCAGGAACACCAGUGGCGAAGGCGGCUCACUGGCCCAUUACUGACGCUGAGGCACGAAAGCGUGGGGAGCAACAGG